rnacentral:rRNA from 1 species
UGAAUACGAGAUGCUACGGCGUCGAAGCAGUCUAUGUCAUACUUCCAAGAAAAGCUUGCACUGUCAUAAACAAAUAAUGCCUGUACCAUAACCGACACAGGUGGGUAGGUAGAGUAUACUAAGGGGCGCGAGAUAACUCUCUCUAAGGAACUCGGCAAAAUGACUCCGUAACUUCGGGAGAAGGAGUGCCUUAUUUAUAAGGUUGCAAUAACAAGAUCCAAGCAACUGUUUACCAAAAACACAGGUCUCCGCUAAGUCGUAAGACGAUGUAUGGGGGCUGACGCCUGCCCAGUGCCAGAAGGUUAAAGAAGUUGGUUAGCAUCCGCGAAGCUGAUAACUGAAGCCCUGGUGAACGGCGGCCGUAACUAUAACGGUCCUAAGGUAGCGAAAUUCCUUGUCGGGUAAGUUCCGACCCGCACGAAAGGCGUAAUGAUUUGGAUACUGUCUCGGAGAGGGGCUCGGUGAAAUAGACUUGUCUGUGAAGAUGCGGACUACCUGCACCAGGACAGAAAGACCCUAUGAAGCUUUACUGUAACCUGAAAUUGAAAUUGGACUUUGCUUGCGCAGUAUAGGUGGGAGGCGUUGAGAAUAUUCUUGUGGGAUUAUUGGAGCCAUCAGUGAGAUACCACUCUUGUAAUGUUAGAUUUCUAACUUUGUAUCAUUAUCUGGUCAAAGAACAGUUUCAGGCGGGCAGUUUGACUGGGGCGGUCGCCUCCUAAACGGUAACGGAGGCGCACAAAGGUUUCCUCUGAACGGGUAGAAAUCGUAUCUAGAGUGUAAAGGCAUAAGGAAGCUUGACUGUGAGACCUACAAGUCGAGCAGGGACGAAAGUCGGUCUUAGUGAUCUGACGGUGCUGAGUGGAAAGGCCGUCACUCAACGGAUAAAAGUUACUCUAAGGAUAACAGGCUGAUCUCCCCCAAGAGUUCACAUCGACGGGGAGGUUUGGCACCUCGAUGUCGGCUCAUCGCAUCCUGGGGCGGUAGUACGUCCCAAGGGUUGGGCUGUUCGCCCAUGAAAGCGGUACGCGAGCUGGGUUCAGAACGUCGUGAGACAGUUCGGUCCAUAUCCGGUGUAGGCGUUAGAAUAUUGAGAGGAGCCUUCUUUAGUACGAGAGGACCGAGAAGGACAUACCUCUGGUGUACCAGUUAUCGUGCCAACGGUAAACGCUGGGUAGCUAUGUGUGGAGUGGAUAACCGCUGAAAGCAUCUAAGUGGGAAGCCCACCUCAAGAUAAG